rnacentral:rRNA from 1 species
AUUGAACGCUGGCGGAAUGCUUUACACAUGCAAGUCGAACGAUGAAGUCUAGCUUGCUAGACGGAUUAGUGGCGAACGGGUGAGUAAUAUAUCGGAACGUAUCCAUUAAUGGGGGAUAACUAGUCGAAAGAUUGGCUAAUACCGCAUACGUCCUACGGGAGAAAGCUAGGGACCUUCGGGCCUGGCGUUAAUGGAGCGGCCGAUAUCUGAUUAGCUAGUUGGUGAGGUAAAGGCUCACCAAGGCGACGAUCAGUAGCUGGUCUGAGAGGACGACCAGCCACACUGGAACUGAGACACGGUCCAGACUCCUACGGGAGGCAGCAGUGGGGAAUUUUGGACAAUGGGCGCAAGCCUGAUCCAGCCAUUCCGCGUGAGUGAAGAAGGCCUUCGGGUUGUAAAGCUCUUUCGCAAGGGAAGAAAACUUACCCUCUAACAUAGGGUGAGGAUGACGGUACCUUGAUAAGAAGCACCGGCUAACUACGUGCCAGCCGCCGCGGUAACAC